rnacentral:rRNA from 1 species
AAGUGACGAUAGCCUAGGAGAUACACCUGUACCCAUGCCGAACACAGUAGUUAAGCCCUAGAACGCCUGAAGUAGUUGGGGGUUGCCCCCUGUUAGAUACGGUAGUCGCUUAGC